CAGACUAUACUUUCAAGGGUCAUUUCUUUAGUUUAUAAUUGAGAAAUUGGUUUCUUAAAAGUUUGGUCUCUCUGCCCAUGAUGAUGAGCUGAGAUGUUUUCCUUCACAGCAGAAAACUGGUGGGAAGAUUCUAUUUCUUCACCACUGUUGAUGACUGUUCAGAGUUUCAUGGAGACUUUGAUGAAGGAGACAUGAGCUGAGUGGU
ensembl:snoRNA U3 Small nucleolar RNA U3